rnacentral:rRNA from 1 species
ACAUCCUACGGGGGGCAGCAGUGAGGAAUAUUGGUCAAUGGGCGGGAGCCUGAACCAGCCAAGUCGCGUGAGGGAUGACGGCCCUAUGGGUUGUAAACCUCUUUUGCCGGGGAGCAAAGUGCCGCACGUGUGCGGUUUGGAGAGUACCCGAAGAAAAAGCAUCGGCUAACUCCGUGCCAGCAGCCGCGGUAAUACGGAGGAUGCGAGCGUUAUCCGGAUUUAUUGGGUUUAAAGGGUGCGCAGGCGGAUUUUUAAGUCAGCGGUCAAAUCGUGGGGCUCAACCCCAUCCAGCCGUUGAAACUGGG